GCUUAAAAGGAAAGAGAAACCAGAGUGAAUUAUGACUCUUGCCCAGUUUUUGGUUGAAUACUGCCUGCAUGCUGCUACAAUGCCCCUUUUACAGAACAUUGUCUAACAUGUAAAUAUUCUGGAAUAGUACCCCCAAAUUCAACUUGACAUGAAGACAAGAACAAAACCAUUCAGUACUGAUUAAAUGCUUGGGAUAAUGUGCAACAAUCUAGAUGAUCCAAAGAGUAUUUGAUGACAUUGCAUUAAUGACCUUAAGUUAAUAGCUGCACCCUUCUGGUUACCGCUAGAACUGAGCUUUCGCUCGCCGUCCACCACUGCUGUUUUGCUGCCGUCGCAGACCCGCCGCUGACUUCCAUCCCUCCAAUCCAGCAGGGCGCCCGCUGUGCUCCUGAUCCAGGGAAGCACCCGUUGCCACUCCUGAUCGCGCUAAAGGCUUGCCAUUGUUCCUGCAUGGCUAAGUGCCUGGUUUCGUCCUAAUCAAGCUGAACACUAGUCACUGGGUUCCACGGUUCUCUUCCGUGACCCACGACUUCUAAUAGAGCUAUAACACUCACCGCACGGCCCAAGAUUCCAUUCCUUGGAAUCCGUGAGGCCAAGAACCCCAGGUCAGAGAACACGAGGCUUGCCACCAUCUUGGAAGUGGCCUGCCGCCAUUUUGGAAGUGGCCCACCACCAUCUUGGGAGCUCUGGGAGCAAGGACCCCUGGCAUCUGGAUAUUAAGACUGUCUCCAGCCCUUUGAGGUUGAGAGAGGAAGCAAGCACGGAGGAAUGGAUUUGACAACCCACAUGUCCGUGACUCAAAGCAAGCAAGGCCUUGCACAACCAACUCGCCACCCACACAAUCUGCACAGUCUCAGUGAGAAAGCAGGAGCAGGGAGCUCUCCGCUGAGAGUGAAGAAAUGUCCUCAACUCGACUUCUCUGCAGUGUGCAUGUGUGUGAAACACAGACACACACGGGAGGAAUUUGGCUCUGUCAUUUUAGUGUACCAAAGAAAAAAAAACAGGGAGAAAUCACUUGUUUGAAGCCCUAAAUGACAUAAGGAAGAUUUUCCCAGAUCUAAAUAAUGAUCCCUAAGGUCAGGUGCUGUGUAUGGUAUGGAUUUGGAAACUUCAUAAUGUCUCUGACCACCACUCCAGGACACUGCAGACAGGUGUGCAUUUACUCAGCAUCCAGUAAACACCUGCAAGGUGCAGAGUACUACACUAGGCACAGGGAACAGAGCUACUGACUGACUGCCAGAGUUUCGAAGAAUACAGAUAAGUCAACUAUUAAAGCUAGGAAACAGACCGGAUGCGGUGGCUCACGCCUGUAAUCCCAGCACUUUGGAAGACCGAGGCGGGUGGAUCAACUGAGGUCAAGAGUUCAAGACCAGCCUGCCAACAUGGUGAAACUCCGUCCCUAUUAAUAAUACAAAAAAAUUAGCUGGGCAUGGUGGCACAUGCCUGUAAUCCCAGCUAUUCGGGAGGCUGAGGCAGGAGAAUUGCUUGAACCCAGGAGGCUGCAGUGAGCUGAGAUCGCGCCAUUGCACUCCAGCCUGGGCAACAAGAGCGAAACUCUGCCUCCAAUAAAUAAAUAAAUAAAAUAAAAUAAAAUAAAAUAAAGCCAUAAAACAGUAAA